rnacentral:lncRNA from 1 species
AGCUUGACUGCCGAACGGAGCAGACGUGUGUCACAAGAGCUCCUGCACACGCUACCGAGAAUCCGGGGAUAUCCCCGAUCCAAAUGACUUUAUAAGCACAGCCUAGCGUUAAUCUUGCAGAGGAGGCUUCGGUGAGUCGGGAGACACCUCACUGGAGUGUCCCUGCAACUGACUGCCCAAAUCGAGGCCUACAUAGGAGGGAACUAGGGAGAGGCGGCCACUCUCCCAGCACCCCAGCUGGCUGCUAAGCAAAGGAAUCGUGCAAUCCCCCUUUGGAUCAGCGGGGGUUAUCCCAGUCCCUAUUGGGCUACCCCACGCAGUAGCUGACACAUAGGGGGAAGAACCGCAAUCAACAGCAUACCUCAAGAUGGCGGACGGGCCUACUACAGAGACUCAGGCACCCAAAGCCCCACUGGAUCACACUGGUGACUCCAUGCUAGCACUGGAUGCACUACUAGCCACCUUCUGGGCAUGACUGGAGAAACGAGUGGCAGCCUCUGCUGGUCUGCCUAUAGAGACAGGCCAUCCGAACGCACAUGGGCCCCCUCUGAGUGAAACUACCCGCUAUACACGGGCCCCUCCCAUCAAGUGACCCCCCAGACUGAGGGCUAAACAAGGGAGGAACCCAUCUCAUCGCCCGCAAUGGAGAAAGCCCCUACCACUGCUCCGGUGCUGCAUCCCAGGAGGGGCCACGAUGCUGGAAUGGUGCCAGCAGCCGGCGAGCUCCAACUCUGCGACGCCUGACGCAAAACCUAGACAGAGCCGCAGCUGCCCCCCAUACACAGCCCAGCAGACCGCUGUUCCCCAGGGCCGACCACAUCUCAAAAGCUGGAGGUACACGACGGUGGACCCCCAAAGAGAGACAUGGACCACCUGCACAACCAAGGCUGAAGAUCAACUACCAUAUCUGGGGGCCGACACACAACUGACGGGUCAAAGAUGGCACUACCUGCUCCAGCACACUAGUGGCAUCGGGUGAGGGUUUGCAGUAGCCUUUCUCCCUGCUGCCACCCUGCUCAGCAGAGCAGAACUGAAUGGGUAGUCUCCCUACUAUUAUCUGAUGCCCAGUGGUUCAAACAGUUCAUAUAUGGUUUUAUAUCUAUAGCUAGAUUUGUCUUCAUAUCCCAUGUUAUUUUCUUGUUCCCCUUAACCCAGAUGUAUACUAGCAUAAUUUUAAUCUGAAAGUAUAAUCUUGUCUAAUAAGCAUGUACCACAUCAAAGUAUUCAUGUCACCACACACAUCUGAGCGACUCAUAGUCACCGCUACACUCACACGCCUAAACAUACAGGUCAUACAUGUUACAUUAGUGCACCAACUAUCUCACUAAAGAUGUGUGUAGAAACUUCUUGUAUUUUCCUUUAAUAUAAAAAUGUGCUGACGUAGCAAAAUGAAGCAAAGUAUUAACUCUAGAAGAUCCAUUCCUUACGUAACCGGUUUCAUUGUAAUAUUUGCAUGUUCUUGCACUCGUUAUUGUGACGAUGCAGGAGAAUUUGUUUAGUUGUGCACAAUCAAAAAUCAAAAUAAAGAAUAAAAAAAAAAAAUUCCACUCACGACACAGAACCAUGCCAGGCUUUGUAAGAAAGGCUCAAGGCUGCCACUUAUGGCAACAAGAUCCACUUCAAAAUGACAGGAUGCAGGACUCCAGAUUGUUCCACAGAAAUAUUAUAUUUAUUGAUGCAAACUUAAUAGAAGGCUAUAGAUGGUGGUGGGAAUAUUACACAAAGUCGGAGGGGAAAAAAAGCUCUAAAUACCCACAGUGACCUUGGGCAAGGAUUGCAAUCAAGAAGCAGCAAACCUGUUUCAGAUGUGAGGCCUUUUUCCAGUGCUACUGAGCUUCUUCUUGGUGUACAGCUUUUAUAUCCAUUUAAACAAAACAAAAAAUGACAUGUAUAUACCAUUUCCGGCAUCUUGUAGCCACCCGCAACAUAAUUUCUGGCUCUUCCAAUUGAGGUCCAAUCCUUCAUAAUGAUAUGGAACACACGGUCACUGUAAACCUUCUGCCAGGUUCAGUAUAUAUUGUACCCUAAAGGCUAUCAAACAAACAGUUAAGUACG